GCAAUAUGUUGGGUAUUUCCCUCCACGUGAGGAAGUUAUCUUGUAGAAAGUUGGGGACAGUUUCCACGUUGACCCAUACCAAUUGAAAGGGCCCAAAUAAAGGAAAAAUAUAUACAUACCAAAAAUAGAGAGAAAUACCUAGAGAGAGAUACAAACGGGUUUUAGUUCUUCACGCCAAAGAUCGGAGGCUGAUUUGUGGUCCGAUUGAAGUGAAAUUUCAGUAUGUUAUUCUUGGCAAAGUGAUUUAUGUUUUGACUGGAGCCAAUCGUCUAGAUUCCUCUCCAUUUCUCUGGGCAGUACACACUUGUUUAGUGAGAAUUUCUCCUUUCUAUUGUGUAUAUUUAUUUUGGAAUGAUAUUGUUGUUGGUAUCCGAGAAUUAUGUGUUCUUGAUGUAUUGGUAGCCUCCAGAUGGUAUUCUGGAGAAGAAAAGCGGUGUAUCUCAUUAUUUUUCAUAGUGGAAGGCCUUUUACUGGACUAGGUCCCGUGGUUUUUCCUUUCACACUGAAGGGUUUCCCCAUCAACAAAUCUUUGUGUUCAAUUGUUAAAUUUCUUGCAGUGUGUGUGGCUAUUGGAGCCGAUUAUUGUUAUUAUUAUUGUCAUUUUAAUUCUGCACAUUUGAGGCCUUGAAAUAUUGUUUUCACUGCUUGUUUGUGUUACUGGUUUAGUCCCCAACACAAUAUGUUUUAAAAUGCAUUGUAACAUUUCAUAGAAUUAUACAAUUAUAAUACACACAUGUUUUCCAAGAUGCCUUAUCAAUUAAGACAUUAAAGAACCUAGAAUUUGUGAUUGAAAAAACCUUUAAACACAUAAU
rnacentral:lncRNA from 1 species